rnacentral:lncRNA from 1 species
UUCUGGAGAGAUCAUACGCCCAGGUGAUGCUGUUUGCAUGCUGGGCAAAGAAGCUAGUAACAUUAUCUGUGUUUGAAUUUUCAUCACUCUGGCUGCAGAGUUGCAUGCUUGAAUAGAUAAUUAUGCUGAGCAAAGACUAAAAUUCCAUUGGUGGAACUUCUCUAGGCUCCUUUUAUUAUAAUCUCCCAAAGUUGUGGAAGCAGAUAUGGAAAGCAUUAUAGCUGCUGGAGUCUAUCACUUUAUGCAAGCCGUAGCUUGGGGUUGGAAAUUUUCUAACCUUUUUGUAUGAGAACCCCAUCAUUCGAUGUGUGAACUUCUAUAAAGGGAAAUAGCCUAUUAGUGAUCAUUAUGAAUGUUGGUCUGACAUCUGCAUUAUUAAGGAUUGACAUGACCACAAUUCGCUGGACCAGUACCCUAAUAUCUAGUAUCAAAUACUGGUAAUAGCAUCUACAUAUAUCAAAUCAUUUCCUAGUGUCCUGUAUUAAUUACUUUUAGCAAAUCCAGGUAGAACAACCAUCCCAGAGGUGACAUAUUUGCAGUAGACUGUCAUAAGCUAUAGCAGCAGCAGCUUAAUACUCCCUCUGAUCCAUAAUACUUGUCGAUCAAACGGAUGUAUCUAUCACUGAAAUAUGUAUAGAUACAUCCAUUUAAGCGAUAAGUAAUAUGGAUCGGAGGGAUUAUGUUGCACCUGUUGGACCAGAGGGCAGUCGAGUAGUCGCUGGUAGCAUUUUUUUUGCUAUAACAUACUACUGUACUGCUUUAAUGAUGGCGAACCUUGCUUGGAUUAAUAUGAGCACGUCAAUCAUCUAAAUCUUAGGAAUGCAUGUCUUGCUGGUUCUAUAUUAUAUUUUUCUAUAUUAUUUGUGAGGACAUACAUUUAUAUGUAUAUCUGCAAACUUCGUUAUGUAUCAUGACAUACGGAUAUUACUAGUUCACACGGUUACCUGCAUUGCAAACAUUAUUAGUCUCGUUUGCUUUAAAUAAAUAGUAUUAUUUAUAUUUUUGAUUCACCUUCCCUUAAUGCUGUACAGUUUCCCAUUACUAUCUACAUGCUAUCUUAUAAUCUGCAUACAUGAUUUUCUACUUAUUGAACGGCUCAUCCAAUGCUUCAAACUUCUGUUGCUACUAUAUCUAAAACUUAUGGACACUUGGAUAGUUAGGUGAAUUUCAUUUUCCUUAUGUAAGCUGUUCGGUAACAAAACCUCCCUCUAUUUUCAUAGCUUUAGCUGGUAAAUCCAAUAUGGUAUUAAAUUAACUAAACCUGAAUUUCACAAAUGUGAGACAAAUUUGUAUUUCAUUAGUGCGUUACGACUCCCAAGCAAAUUUGUAUAAGAGGGACAUAGAGGGUGAUUGGUGGGCUGGCUCAUUCAUUCACAUGCAUAGCUCAUGCAUCAUGUUUUUCAAUCCUUUUGAUCGGUUGGUCAGCUUGUAUUGGUGCUGGCUCCCAUGAACGGGGAAAUGAGCCUUCUCUCAUGUCUAGAUUCGAGUUGACCUUGAUUAAGCGAUUUUGAGAUGCAUUAUUCUUUAUUCAUGAGACCAACCAAAUAACUACCCAUAGAUUCACCCCUUGGAUAGUUUUGUUGAACCAGCAUAUCCAGCCUGUGCCCCUCUGAGGCAGGCUCAGGGGAUUCAUGUUAGCAAUCACCCCCAUAAGUAUCUCUUGCCAUAUGGGCACUGCAGAUUAGUCAAAUACUCUCUGGGGGUAACCAGUCACUCCCAUAAUAUUUUGAGUAUAUCAAAAGGACCAUUUUUAUUAUAUUUUGGUUGUAAUUUCUUCCAUUCUUUUGCUUCGUGCCUACCUAGUUACCAUGAUGAUACUUUUAUGUUUUAAGGUCAACAGUUUUAGUGAGUUGUCAACCGGGGUAGUUUCUUGUAGGCAGACAGUUGGUUCUCAUAUCUGCUUGGCUAUCCUUUGCUGCCAUGUUAGCAUUGGAGGCUGCAUCCUAGAAGGUAUGGAUACUGUAGUUCUGUUUGAUUGAUUGACUCGUUUUCUCUNGAUUAUACAAGAUUAGUUUAAUGUAUUACCAUUCUACCUUUUUUUUUUGGGGGGGGGGGCGGUUAAUUAGAGUUUCAAAUACUCAACCUGUUUACUUGUUAAUGUUCCACUAACCUAUUUUACUUAAAUGGGAUCGACCAUUAAGAAAUGAAUAACCUUAGUGAAUAAGAAUACGUACUAAAUACUGUUAGAUCAUACAAGAUUAGUUUAAUGUAUUACCAUUCUGGAUGCCUUGGUUUGGAUGGAUGGGUGGCGGCUAUAGUUAUAUGUGCUGAGAUGUUCAGAUGGCAUAGCCACAUUUCUUUUUACAUAUGUGUCUUCUCAAAAUAAAUGAAAUAUAAUCUGUAUGUUAUAUUGCUAUUGAGUUUUAUGACCUUUUCAUAAGCCAUGCCAUAUAUUUUUCGUGCGGAUGCCCAUGCCAUAUAUGUUUUCAUGCGGAUGGUCAUGCCAUAUAUGUUUUCAUGCGGAUGGUUUCCAAGAUAGAACAUGCAAUACGUUGAAAUAUUUGUGCUUACAACCUUGUAACAAUAAGAUGUACCUAGAAUUGGUUAUCUUACAUUUGAACAUGUAAUUCCUUGUAAAAAAGAAUACAAAGAAAAAAUGAUGCUUUUUUCCCAUGUCAUGCUCUGAAUUCUCGAUGAUCUACUUCUUAGAUGGUAAAAUGAGAAUCGUGUUUCAACCAGAAAAACAAAAGUUGCGUGAAAUACAUAAAUUGAACGGAUGAGAUUUUGCCUGAUAUGACAACAAUUAUCCCUUUUUUCCCAUGUCAUGCUCUGAAUUACCGAUGAUCUACUUUUCAGAUGGUAAAAUGACAACCAUGUUUCAACCAGGAAAACAGGAGUUGUGUGAAAUACAUACAUAAAUUGAAUGGAUGAGAUUCUGCCUGAUAUGACAACGAUUGUCUUGGAAUCACUUUUACGUGGACAGCUAACAACUAUGGUGAGACGAGUGUGGAUCACAAGCAAAGUUUGAUUCAAAAAACAAAAACAGAAAAACAUUGAACAUCGGUGUUAAUAUUUUUUGAGAAGGUAUUUCUGUAUUCUUGUAGUAUACUUCCUCUGUCCAAUAAUAAUAUAUUGUUGAAAAUAUUUUAUAUUAUGGGACGGAGCGACAUCAAAGAAAUGAGCGUUUGGAUGCAAAAAAGGAAGUUCCGAAGUACAAAUUGGCUACACAGAAGCGCUGCCAACACGUCCGUACGGCUGUGAAUACCUGGUUUAUGAGCCGUUCAUUUACUGGAUCGGACAGCUGCUACUCAUUCGUCUGUGUAUACUUUUCUAGGGUUAAGCAGCACUCCACAAGAUGAGCAUAUACGUGCACAAGCACAUUCAUGUAGGUGGUGCCAUAGAAAAUUACUACGAUAUUCUAGCACCAGGUUGCUUCUAGUAUUUUGUAGCCCGCCAAUAGUGGUGAAUUAUUUCUUGCUCUCGCAAGCUGCGGCAGAUCUAGUCCCUCCAGGCUCUAUUUUGUAGCCCAUAUAGACCAGCCCAUGGGCUCUUCUCCCUUCUGCUUGUUCGGUUUUGUGUUGAGGAAUCUCAGUUCCUUUGCUAUGACUAGCACUUUAAGUUAGUUUUUUUGUAGUGGCGCUUAGAUGAAAGUCAGUGUCUCACAUUCGAGCUGAUCUUUUGGGCUUUGAUCUUUCUUGAGUUUGUCCAUGCAUGAAUUGGGCAGAGCUUCAAUGUAGAUUAUUGUCAUCGCAAGAGGCGACAAAUACAAGCAUUGGAGUGAGCACGUCACCUUGUCAUCGCCCUCCCUUACAGAGCUGAGCAAACCUUGUUUUAUUAGAGAUCUGCUUGUUCUAAGGCCCAAUGAACCAGUGCACCAGAAUAACAACUGGCAUCGAUGAAGAAAAAUGUAGAUCGGAAUGAUCAAAUAUGUAGACACAUAACCGAAGGUGAAC